AAGGAAAAGGCAUAAGGUGAGGAAGGAUAAAAGAGAAUGGUAUGAGAAGGACACUAAAGGGUGUUUAGGAUAAGUUAUGUAAAAUGAAUGGUUAAGGGAGCGAUGGAGCCUCAAUCUAAGUUUCAAUGUGUCAGGAAGUACAUCAGAUAGUGAGAAGUUUCAAGUAGAAUUCAAAGAACUCCCAAUUUAGAAAAGGAGUAGAAAAUAAUAAGUCGUGGUAACUGGGUGGCUUGGAAAUACAUAAAAUUUUAU
rnacentral:misc_RNA from 1 species